ensembl:lncRNA ITGA6-AS1 ITGA6 antisense RNA 1
GCAUGUGAGAACUUUUGGCUGAUGAAUACAAGAUACGCUCAUUCAUUCUCUUCAUUGCUAUGAAAUGAGUUUUUCCACAACCUCCUGCAGAACCUCAACACAUCACUAGGUGGCAACAUCCCUACACCAUAUCGGUUUAGAAACCACGGUUAGGAGGAGCAGCAAAACACGCGGCAUCCCAGUAUGAUUCAGAAGUAAAGUUUACAAUCUUUGAGGCCUGGCUGACUCAUGGAACAACUAGGACAAGAAACAAAGACAAAGAACACACACCUGACUGGACAGAGAUAAACCAAGAGCUGAGAGUUUUGGAAACAAGGCUGGAGCUGAGGAAAAGGACUGGGAACACGAACCUGUACAAACAACAAAUUCUUACAACAGAAAACAAGCCACUCCUGGCCAUCAAGAAACCCACAAAUCUCAGAAGCAAAAGCAAAACAAAUGAAAAUACAAACCAAAUAGUCUCUAUUACCUUCAUGCCUGUUGGGUCCCAAUAAAGGAAUCAUUCCAAUAAA